UACGGGGGGCAAGCGUUGUUCGGAAUUACUGGGCGUAAAGGGCUCGUAGGCGGCCAACUAAGUCGGACGUGAAAUCCCCAGGCUCAACCUGGGAACUGCGUCCGAUACUGGAUGGCUUGAAUCCGGGAGAGGGAUGCAGAAUUCCAGGUGUAGCGGUGAAAUGCGUAGAUAUCUGGAGGAAUACCGGUGGCGAAGGCGGCAUCCUGGACCGGCAUUGACGCUGAC
rnacentral:rRNA from 1 species